UGCACACAUGGUGGCAGUGGCCAGAGCACUCAGGUGCUCGCUGCCAAAGUAGAGCACAUGUGUAGCUAAUUCCUCAGCCUCAUCCUUCCCAUGGUCUGUGAUCAAUCUAUAACCCCCAGGAGUCCUGUUGUAGCAUCAGACCUUCCUCCAGAGAAGUUCUCUGCACGCUGUUGCUUCAGUUCACUGGGGAAAAACAACAAGGACACUUACACCGGCAAUGGAAAUAGAAUGAACAACAGAGAGACCUUCCAGGUUUGACAUGUAAAGGGAAAUAACUUUGUAGUUAUUGUCCCUACUUGGAGACAUCAAAAACAGGUGUAGAGUGUAAGGCGGUGCAGGCUGAGAACGAAGUGGAAAGUAACACAAAGUCAAAGAGAAGAGUUGAAGGAAUUUGGAACAAGGGAUAAUGGACUUGGCUGAAAAGAUGGAGAAUGAAAGACACUGCGCAAAGGUGAAGUCCAUUGUUGUACAAUCAAAUUAACUAUUAAAUGUCAGCUGCAAAGGUGAGCCAUAAUAUUAAAAGGACCUUCCAGUAAGUUUUACGCCAUUUUGACAGCUUUACAGCCACUGAAAAUGUCCAUAGAGCCUCACAGUUUGCUAAUGAAUGGCUUCUCCAUAAGAAUGGAACAGGUCAGAAACUUUGAAAGAGAAGCUGGAAAUACCAAUUAAAGAAAUGGAUGCUUCUGCAAAAUCAAAACAACUUUGAAGAACACUCACUUAUAUUUUUGGAGGAUUCACAAAGAACUGAACUAAAUAUAAGCCUUAGAAGUCUGCUCCAAUUCUUUUCCAUAUCCAGGUUUUCAUUAAUUUCAUUCUAAAGCUGGUUAUAACCCCCUGAUUCCAUUCUAUUUUGAUGAUGCCACUACUGAGCUAGUUUCCCAAGUUGUGCUGUUUUGAUGUUUCUACUUUUGUGUCAUUCACCACGUGGAAUUUUAUGGACCUCUUUUCUUUUGGAAUAACACCCAUCAUUUAAAUGUUGUCACUGUUCAAAAAUACUUCUUUUCUUAUGCGAAGCUGUUCCUUCAGCUGCAGCUGCCACCAGUAGUGGUUAACUUGUGGCACCUAAAUUCCCCGCUGAGUGGGUCAGCUGCUGCUGUUGCAGUUAUGUGUCAGAGCAGGCUUCAUCCUUGGUGAAUCAAAUAGCAUGACUUCUGAGGAGCACACUCGUAGUGCAGCAGGACAGUCAUGUACUCAUACUCUGACCCCUGUACUGCUGCUGGGUGAGAGUUCUGCAGCUACAAGAAUCAAUAAAAAUGUAUUGAUUUCUCUGCACUGUCAUAAAGCUUGUCUGCUCUCAUCUCCAGUUUGCAAGCAGAAAAAGAAGAGUGUAAAACUGCAAUUGUCUUAGGCUUUCUCUCACCUCCCCCGUUCCACGCUCAUCACUCCAGAGACCAAGAUCUGUUUCUGACAUGCUGCCCCAGCUGCUGUAUCAGCAUCCUACUCUUUUAACACUUUGUGUUGGAAAAAUAGCUGGUUUUGAAACUAAGUAAGUGCAGGGGGAUUGCCUUAAAGACUAAGGUGAGUGACUUCUCUGGAGCUUAAUUUGUCCCACUGCAUGGAGAAAAGGUUAGCCAAGGGCAAAUAAUGUGAUGAGGAGUUCAUUGUCUCUGUAGGUAUUGCAGUCUCACAUAAAGUUACUUUUCUAGGCUGUUUCAGAUCCCUUUGAAAGUGAUGUUUUCUAUUCUAGGAAGAAGGUGGGUAGUGAUCAUUGAUCUGAAGAACGUAGGAAUGUCCUCCACUGCUGGUAGCUGUCUCAGAGGUAAAAGUGAAGCAGGAGAAGGGUAAAAUAGUAUUUUCAAUAAUAUUUAACUUCACAGCAACUGUCACCUAAUAACCAUACCUGUCAAAAGGCAGCUGUGCAGAUAUGUGCCUCUGAGGUUCAUGCAGAUUACUUGGGAAGCUUGGCUUCAAGCUUCUGGGGAUGGAUGUAACAAUUUGUCAGCUGUAUAAUCAGUUGAUCAAAUCCCAAAGUCCUGAUAAAACGCAGAAUGCAGUCAUGGAGCAAACAGGCCAGAAAAGAUUCACCCAAAAGACAGAAGUACAAGACCCCUGCACAUUGCUGAGUACAAUUUCAUGAUUUCCAUGAUUUCACUGCCUAGGUCAGCAGUAUCAGUGAACGACUAUAUUGGAAUAUUACAGAUCAACAACAAAAGAAGCAUGAAAGGGGAGCAACUUGCAUUGUUUAAAAGCAUCUCCUUGGAUGCUUUUGUUUCUGUGAAGAAUGAGGACUUUGACACUCAGCUAUUCUUUUGAUGAGGUCCUCAGCUGCACCAGUUCUGAUAGAAAUAUUUGCAGUGCUGCAAAUUAACAAGCGAUACACACACGUGACCACUGGUCAAAUGACUGACUGUGUCUGUAUCGUCAGUUGUCAAUGUAACUAUGUGUUACUUAAUGUAUUUGUGGCGCAGGAAGUAGGCACUGCUUUCUGCUCUACCAGCUGAAGGGCAAGGCAGACCUGCUGACAAGUAGGAAAAUACAGGUUUAUCAACCCUGCUGCUUUAGUGACUUUCCUUGCAUUGAUGGCUUCAAGCAAGUAAUUCCAAGAAUGCAAUAUUUUAAAUGCAUGCUGUUGGGUUGUUAUAUGCAGGAUGUUGAGUCAGGCUCACACACAGUGUUAUUACUUAGGUCUGCAACUGCAGACCCAGACAAGGAAAAGGGAAAAUUCCUUUGUGAGCAGUUAGGAAGGAAGCACAGGUGGGUCCCCAGAAGGGUGUUCUCUGGGGGCUCUCUGCAGCUCAGCUGGCAGUGAGGAUGAAGAGGAAAAUAAGAAUGUUUUUGGCAUGCUUUUGCAGAAUAUAUUGUAUAUUUUUGUUCGUACCUUUUUUUUUUUCCUAGUAGGAUCAAAUCAAAAUCCCUGUUGGAUUUUCCUGUUAGUAGGAUAAUUACAGUAGAGCAUGGUAGCAAGAUAAAAGUAUUGUGUGUUGGUCACUGAAAUGUGCUCGUAUAUUUUCUGAUAAUGUUUCAGUAUUCAAUUGACUUGUCUCCUUUGUUGUGCAUUAUGCUUAAUUGAGUUUAAUAUAAAGUAACAUAUACAAUAUGAGAUAAGAAAAGGUUGGGGAAAAGGCGUGGUCUUUACAUCUGUGGCAGUUGGUUCCCACAAGAACGUGCUGUAACAACAUUAUUGGGGCUUGCAGGUGCAAGGCCCUGUGAACAAUAAAGAAAGGUGUGAAAACAAGGGCAAAACACUGCCUCAGCAGCUGCUGUGAAAGAAUGGAGAGCUGCAAAUAACAGCCCCUCUGCGCUGCUAAGGUUGAAGAGCAGAAAUACCAAGGCACAGCACAACAGCCCACACUCAGUUCCAGGUCAGGCAGAUGUGAUCUCGUUGUGUUC
rnacentral:lncRNA from 1 species